rnacentral:rRNA from 1 species
GACAGAGGAUGCAAGCGUUAUCCGGAAUGAUUGGGCGUAAAGCGUCUGUAGGUGGCUUUUUAAGUCCGCCGUCAAAUCCCAGGGCUCAACCCUGGACAGGCGGUGGAAACUACCAAGCUGGAGUACGGUAGGGGCAGAGGGAAUUUCCGGUGGAGCGGUGAAAUGCGUAGAUAUCGAGAGGAACACCAGUGGCGAAGGCGAGUCCCUGGAAAACACCUGACACUGAGGCACGAAAGCUAGGGGAGCAAACAGG